GCCGGGCGUGGUGGUGCACGCCUGUAGUCCCAGCUACUCAGGAGGUUGAGGCAGGAGAAUCGCUUGAGCCUGGGAGGCAGAGGUUGCAGUGAGCUGAGAUCGCGCCACUGCACUCCAACCUGGGCGACAGAGUGAGACUCUGUCUCAA
rnacentral:SRP_RNA from 1 species